rnacentral:rRNA from 1 species
GUCUAUUUGUAGAUAUAAAUAGUCCAAUCUGCCCACUGAUAAAUUGUAUUAAAGGGCCGCAGUAUUCUAACUGUGCAAAGGUAGCAUAAUCGUUAGUUCUUUAAUUGAGAUCUUGUAUGAAUGAUUAGACAAAAAGGUUACUGUCUUUAUAAUAAAAAUUGAAUUUAACUUUUAAGUGAAAAGGCUUAAAUUAUUUAGAGUGACGAUAAGACCCUAUAAAGCUUAAUAUUUUAUGAAAAUGUAAAUAAUAUAGUUUAAUAAAAUUUUAAAUAUUAUAAAUAUUUUAUUGGGGUGAUAAAAGUAAAAUUAAUAAUAACUGCUUUAUGUUUAAACAAUUAUAAUUGGUUGAUUAUAAUAAAUGAUCCUGUAAUAUGGAGUAUGAGAUUAAGUUACUUUAGGGAUAACAGCGUUAUUUUUUUUGAGAGUUCUUAUCGAAAAAAGAGAUUGCGACCUCGAUGUUGAAUUAAAAUAUCUAUAUAAUUGUAGGAGUUAUAUUAGAGGGUCUGUUCGACCUUUAAAUUUUUACAUGAUUUGAGUUCAGACCGGUUUAAACCAGGUCGGUUUCUAUCUUCUAAGUUAAAUUAAUUGC